GUCUACAGCCAUCCUACCCUGAACAUGCCCGAUCUCAUCUGAUCUCAGAAGCUAAGCAAGGUCAGUCCUGGUUGGUACUUGGAUGGGAGAAUUUAUGAAAUAGUUUCAAUAUGAUGAAAAUA
rnacentral:rRNA from 1 species